rnacentral:tRNA from 1 species
GGGGAUUUAGCUCAGCGGUAGAGCAUCGUUUUUGCAUAGCGAUGGUCAGCGGUUCAACUCCGCUAAUCUCCU